AGUGAACGCUGGCGGUAGGCCUAACACAUGCAAGUCGAACGGCAGCACAGUAAGAGCUUGCUCUUACGGGUGGCGAGUGGCGGACGGGUGAGGAAUACAUCGGAAUCUACUCUUUCGUGGGGGAUAACGUAGGGAAACUUACGCUAAUACCGCAUACGACCUACGGGUGAAAGCAGGGGAUCUUCGGACCUUGCGCGAUUGAAUGAGCCGAUGUCGGAUUAGCUAGUUGGCGGGGUAAAGGCCCACCAAGGCGACGAUACGUAGCUGGUCUGAGAGGAUGAUCAGCCACACUGGAACUGAGACACGGUCCAGACUCCUACGGGAGGCAGCAGUGGGGAAUAUUGGACAAUGGGCGCAAGCCUGAUCCAGCCAUACCGCGUGAGUGAAGAAGGCCUUCGGGUUGUAAAGCCCUGUUGUUAGGAAAGAAAAGCAGCAGGUUAAUACCCCGCUGUUCUGACGGUACCCAAAGAAUAAGCACCGGCUAACUUCGUG
rnacentral:rRNA from 1 species